UUUUUUUUUUUUUUUUGUCUUUUUAGGGCCACACCUGUGGCAUAUGGAGAUUCCCAGGCUAGGGGUCGAAUUGCAGCUGUAGCCGCUAGCCUACGCCACAGCCACAGCAACACCACAUCCGAGCCUCAUCUGUGACAUACGCCACAGCUCACGGCAACACUGGAUCCUUAACCCACUGAGUGAGGCCAGGGAUCAAACCUGCAUCCUCAUGGAUACUAGUCAGGUUCAUUUCCUCUGAGCCAUUUCCUCUGAGCCACAACAGGAACUCCAAGAAUUUUUUUUUUUUUUCAAAAACUUUUAUUUUGAGAUAAUCAUACAUUCACCUGCAGUUGUAAGCAGUAGCACAAACAGAUCCCACAUACCCCUUAUCCAGUUUCCCCCAAUGGUAACAUCUUGCAAAACUGUAAUACAGUAUCACAGCCACCGUGUUCCCACUGAUACAGUGUCACCAGCACAGGACCCUUCAAGUUUCUCUUCUAUAGCCACACUUACUCCUCUCCCAUCUCCACCCCUCCUUAGCUUCUAACAAUCUCUUAUUUGUUUUCUGUUAAUAGCAUUUGUCAUUUCAAGAUAUUAUGUAAUUGGAGUCGUAUUAUCCAGUCUUUUGGGAUUUUUUUUUUUUCCACUCUGCAUAAUUCUCGAGAUUCAUUCAGGUUGUUUUGUGUAUCAAUGGUUCCUUUCUUUUUAUCAUUAAAUAGAAUUCCUUGCUAUGGAUGUAGAAUUGGUCUAACCCUUCACCCACUGAAGGACCUUCGGGUUAUUUCCAGUUCUUUCUUUCUUCUUUUUUCGACUCUGGUAUUUUUUUUUUUUUUUUUUUGGGCUUUUUGCCAUUUCUUGGGCCGCUCCCGCAACAUAUGGAGGUUCCCAGGCUAGGGAUCUAAUCGGAGCUGUAGCUGCCAGCCUACGCCAGAGCCACAGCAACGUGGGAUACAUUAACCACUGCGCCACAAUGGGAACUCCUCUUUCUUCUUUUUAUUUUUGGCCUCCAUUUGACCCCUAGCCUGGGCACUUCCAUAUGCCAUGGGUGUGGCCCUAAAAAGCAAAAAACAAACAAACAAACAAACAAAAAACCCAAAACCCAAAAGGAUUGUAGUAGAGUCAGCUCUCUGUAUCUUCUGGUCCACGUCUGCAUAUGGAGCCUGUGGGUUCAGAGGGCCAACGAAAUGUAUUUCUUGGGGAUAAUUGCGCUGAAGUGCAAUUGCUGGUUUACAUGGUAGUUGCAUGUAUAGUUGCACAGACACUACCUGUUUUCCAGAAUGAUUGUACCAUUUUACAUUCUCAUCAACAAUGUAUGGGUGAUCAGCAUCCUCUUCAGCCUUUGGUGUUGUCACUGUUUUUAAUUUUUCCCCUUCGGGUAGGUGUAUGGCGAUAUCUUAUUGCGGUAUUAAUAUGCAUUUUCCUAAUGGCUAAUGAUGUUGAGUAAAUUUCACGUGCUUACUCACCACCUGUAUAUCCUCUUUGGUGAAAUAUCUAUGUCUUUUGCCCAUUUUCAAGUGGGAUUGUUUGGUUUUUUACUGUGGAGUUUUCAGAGUUCUUUAUGCAGUCUAGAUAUACUUGUCAAAUACGUAGUUUGCAAAUAUUUUCCCCCACUCGGUAGCUCACCUUUUUGUCCUCUUAACAGGGUCUUUGGCAGAGCAGAAAGUUUUAAUUUUGAUGAGAUCUGGUUUACUAAUUUUAUGAAUCGUGCUUGUGGUGUCAAGUUUGGGAUUAUUUUGGCCAUGCCCAUGGCAUUCAGAAAUUCUCAGGCCAGGGUCGAACCCACACCAGAAUAGUGACCCAACCACAGCAAUGACAACACCGGAUCCUUAACCCAUUGAGCCGCCAGGGAGCUCCACCUUCUUUUUCUUGAACAAUAGUUGUUAUGUUGUUGCUGGCAUAAAUGUGCCACUCACCAAUGUGGGCACAUAGAAAUUAGAACUUGAGUUCUUGUGGUUCAGUGGAAACGAACCUGACUAGUAUCCAUGAGGAAGUGGGUUUGAUCCCUGGCCUCGCUUAGUGGGUUAAGGAUCCAGCAUUGCCGUGAGCUGUGGUGUAGGUCAAAGACAUGGCUCAGAUCCUGCAUUGCUGGGUCUGUGGUGCAGACCGGCAGCUGCAGCUCUGAUUUGACCCCAAGCCUGGGAACUUCCAGAUUCCACAGGUGCGGCCCUAAAAAAGACAAAAACUAAAACCAAAAAAAAAAAAAAGAAAAAAAUUAGAAAACUGUUCAUAAAAGAAAGAAAUAGAUCAAGUCGACAUCCCUUUUGUAAGCCUCCUCCAACCCACCCCUCAGAUAGGCAGAUAGCCACUGUCAGAAAUUGAAUGCAUGUCAUGUCAGAGCAUGUCUUUUGCUUUUAAACAGUAGAUUAUAGGGCGCUCCCCUUGUGGCUCAGCAGUAAUGAACCUGACUAGAAUCCAUGAGGACACGGGAUUGAUCCCAGGCCCCCCCUCAGAGGGUUAAGGUUCCGGUGUGGCCGUGGCUGUGGCUGUGGCUAGGCCAGCAGCUGCAGCUCUGAUUCGAUCCCUGGUCUGGGAACUUCAAUGUGCUGAAGGUGAGGCCCUAAAAAAAACAAACAAAAAAACCCCAGUUUUUCUUGUUUUUUGUGUCCAUAAACCACACUUAGGUGUUUACAGUUCUUAGCAAAAAAUAUACCACUGUGCCCUUCUUUUUUCGCCCAACAGUGUGUUUUUGUUUUUUUGCUUUGUUAGGGUCACACCUGAGGCAUAUGGAAGUUCCCAGGCUACAGGUUGAAUCAAAGCUGUAGCUAUCGGCCUCCACAACAGCCACAGCAAUGCUGGAUCCUUAGGCCACUGAGCAAGGCCAGGGAUCAAAUCUGUGUCCUCAUGAAUACCAGUCAGAUUUGUUUUUGCUGAGGCGUGACGGAAACUCCCACCCAACAGUGUGUUUUUGAGAUCUGUUUACAUGGAUACCUAUAGAUAUAGACAAUUCUUUUAAUCUACUGUAUAGAUGUCUGUUUUAUGAUUCUAUCUUCAACAAUGCAAUUAUUGUGUUAAGAGGGUGACAUUUUCAGCUUUUUUUAGAAAUUGCCCUUGAAAGGCUGUGCUGCUGUGACCAGCAGUAGCUAUCAAGAGUUGUGUUUCCCCACAGCCUGGCAAACAGUAUUACCGAACAUUGAAGGGUUUGCCACUCUGGUGGGGGCUAAAGGGUAUCUUACUGUGGUCUGGUUUAUGCCUCCCUGAUUACCAGUGAGGGUGGGCAUCUUUUGAAAAGUCUUCUGUGACUACUCAUAUUCUUUGCUCAUUUACUGUGUUAGAUUACUUGUCCUCGAUUGAUUUAUAGCUUCAAUACCAAUCCUUUGUCUCUUACAUAUAAAAUGAAAUCUGUAAACCCAUGCAGUUGCUCUCUUUUAGCUUUGCUGGUGAUUUGUCUUUUUUCUUAGAGCCCAGGGACCAGCCCGGCAUCAAAUGCCUAUGACGGGAGGAACAGAGAUCAGUGCAUGACUUGGAACAAAAGCAGGCUAUUGAUCUCCACUUUCUUUCUAAAGCCUUCUUGCUGGUGGCAUGGCAUGGCACCCUGCCCAGGCGAGCAGGGGGUCAGCCUCAUUGUGGGGGACAUUCCUGCGGUUCCGUGGGUCCCUCAUGUCCAGUCACCCUCCCUUCUUGGAGGCUUCUGAAAGGUUUAAGAGUUCUUGCCCCAGAUCUGGGGCAAUUCCAGCCUCUGGCAGGGAGGGUUCACCUGUAAUGUCCUGGCCCAGGUUCCAAGAGCCUCUAGGCAGCAGGUAAUGCGUAACAGAAGGCAAAACAAACAGCUUCUUCCUCAACUAGAUUCUGCAGGCCUGUCUGCUGAGGUCCCUGCCCCCAUGACUCCUUCAGAGCUCCCUCAUGCUCUGCCUCUGGUCUCUGCCUGAUCCUGUCAGGAGCUGUGAUCCUUGGUGCCCACAGAGAAUUCUAGUUCUGAUUUUAGGUGCCAGCCCUAAAAUGUCACAGAAUGCUACGGCUCGUCACAGGAGUUCCCUGAGCCAGCCAGCUCGUGUUUUUUGUCUAGGGCCUGCUGGAUGGCUAGGCUAGGCUGUACUGGGCAGAGCCAACCCUGGGGCACAAGGCUUUCCAGGUUGCUUUAACCAGGGACUGUGAAAUUAGGAUGCAAAGCCAUCAUGCCUGGUGCCAGGAGAGGUGACCUGGCACCGUGGGAUCCAAGGCAGCAAGGAAGGUUAAUCAGAUGCCACAAAAUAAAGCACGGGAAAAAACCAGUGCGGACUUGAGGGCUGGGAGGUGAGAGCCAAGUGGGGGUGCUACUCCAUGGGCCUGUGGCACCCUCAGGCUCAGGUUUGCUGCUCCAGCCCCUGCACAACCCCCAGAGGAGGGGUAAAAAGUAAAGUGUAAAGAGCGCUACAUUCAGAAAAGGACCCAGUGUGGCCACCCUUAGAUUUGGAAGCUUAAGAAAAGGAACUCUUACCUUAUCCAUAAAAAUGAAUAAUCCCCCCCCCCUUUUUUUUUUCACAGCUGCACCCAGUGUAUGGAAGUUCCCAGGCCAGGAAUCGAAUCCAAGCCAAAGCUUGGCACAAAGCUGUGCCACAGCUGUAGCAACACCAGAUCCUUAACCCACUGGGCUGGCCAAGAUCAAAUUCAUGCCUUUGCAGCUACCUGAGCUGCUGUGAUCAGGUUCUUUCUUUCUUUCUUUCUUUUUUUUUUUUUUUUUUUUUUUUUUUUUUUGUCUUUUUGGUCUUUUUAGGGCAACAUAUGGAGGUUCCCAGACUAGGGGACUCUUUGGAGCUGUUGCUGCCAGCCUAUGCCACAGCCAGAGCAACGCCAGAUCCAAGCCGCGUCUGCGACCUACACCACAGCUCAUGGCAACGCCAGAUCCUCAACCCACUGAACAAGGCCAGGGAUCGAACCCGCAACCUCAUGGUUCCUAGUCAGAUUUGUUUCUGCCGUGCCACGAUGGGAACUCCCAGGUUCUUUUUUUUUAAAUUUUUAAUUAUAGUUGAUUUACAAUGUUUUGUCAAUUUCUGCUGUAUAGCAAAUUGACCCAGUUAUAAUAUAUAUAUAUUUUUUCUCAUAUUGUAGUCAGGUUCUUAACCCACUGUGCCACAGUGGGAACUCCCUAAUAAUGCUCUUUGUAGAAACCUUCUUAUAGACACACACAUAUUUUUGAAAAAAUUCUUAAAUUUUUAAUUUUUUUCCUAAGGGCCGCCCUCACUGCAUAUGGAAGUUCCCAGGCUAGGGGUCAAACUGGAGCUGCAGCUGCCAGCCAACGCCACAGCCACAGCAACGCCUGAUCCAAGCCACAUCUGCAAGCUACGCCGCAGCUUGCAGCAACCUGGAUCCUUAACCCACUGAGCAAGGCCAGGGAUCGAACCCGAGUGCUCAUGGAUGCUAGUGGGGUUUGUGACCGCUGAGCCACAGUGGGAACUCUGUGCACACAUAUUUUUGGCUGCCAUUGGAAAAUCAGUUGCAGACAUCAUAAUAUCAAUAUUUUCCGUCUUUGCUGAUCUCUCGCGGUUAUUUUGCUUUAAUUUGUAGCAUAGACAUCUUCUUCUAUGCUUACUGGCCACUUGUCUUCCUUCUCCUGCAAGUUUGGUUAUUGUCGUGUUUCCUGUGUCAAGGUCCCCUGUCUGUUUUAGUGGAGAGCUGUUUGUGAUCUAGUGAUGAGGCUGUUUUAGUGCAUUUUUAGGGUGGCAGCUUGGACAGGUGGCUUAACUUCUCUCUCAAUUUUCUCCACUUGUAAGACAGGGAUAAGAGCCCUUGGGAUGAUUUGCCUGAGAAAACCUGCCUGACAGCUUCACAGGGGAGAUGUUCAUGCUUCUGCCCCUUCCUUCGGUUCCUCACAUCCCUUGCCCAUCUCUGCCCUUCCCCACUGAGUGUGCCCAUCUGUUUCAUCAAUCAGAGUCAUUACACUCCUGACUUGUCAUUAAACGUCUCUACAGACAUUCUUGGAAAUUACACUGUCAAGUAGUUAUCAUCAGGUGGCUCCGAGUUUCCCACUGGAACAAUAUUCCAGUUGGGGGGCUGUCUUCUGGACCAAAGCCUUGCAUCCAGUGAGCCACAUUCUAAAUAGUAGGCAGUGUGUCCUGAGCUGCUCCUGAACGUGGGGAAAUAUGUAUCCACGGAGGAAACGGGUUUCCUGGGCAGCAGUCACGGUGUACCACGCAGAGGGCACACGCACUGCUCUCUCAUCUAUUGAAACUCUCAGAAAGGAAAAUCCUGCUCCACUCAAAACGGCACUUAUUGGAGCUCCCGCUGUGGUGCAGUGGGAUUGACUUGGGAGCACUGGGAUGCAGGUUCGAUCCCAGCCUGGCACAGUGGAUCAGGCAUUAGUGCAGCUUAGUUCUUGGCUGUGGCUUGGAUCUGAUCCCAGGCCCAGGAGCUCCAUGUGCUGCAGGGCGGCCAAAAAAAAACCGGAAAAAAAAAAAA
ensembl:lncRNA